UCUCCGUUGGUGAACCAGCGGAGGGAUCAUUACCGAGUUCCAGCAACUCCCAAGCCUUGCGAACCGUACCCCAGUCUGUUCUCGUUGCUUCCGGCAGGCGGGGGGGCCACCUGGCCCCUCCCCCUGUCGGGGGCGGCGGGCCCUCUGAAACUUUAUAUCACAACCACUGAGACCCGUCUGAGCAAAACAAAAAAUAAUCAAAACUUUCAACAACGGAUCUCUUGGCUCUG
rnacentral:misc_RNA from 1 species